rnacentral:rRNA from 1 species
UACGUAGGGUGCAAGCGUUAAUCGGAAUUACUGGGCGUAAAGCGUGCGCAGGCGGUUGUGUAAGACAGAUGUGAAAUCCCCGGGCUCAACCUGGGAACUGCAUUUGUGACUGCACGGCUGGAGUGCGGCAGAGGGGGAUGGAAUUCCGCGUGUAGCAGUGAAAUGCGUAGACAUCUGAAGGAACAUCAGUGGCGAAAGCGACUUCCUGGACCAAUACUGACGCUCAUGUGCGAAAGCGUGGGGAGCAAACAGG